UGGGGAAUUUUGGACAAUGGGCGAAAGCCUGAUCCAGCAAUGCCGCGUGUGUGAAGAAGGCCUUCGGGUUGUAAAGCACUUUUGUCCGGAAAGAAAUCCUUGGCUCUAAUACAGUCGGGGGAUGACGGUACCGGAAGAAUAAGCACCGGCUAACUACGUGCCAGCAGCCGCGGUAAUACGUAGGGUGCAAGCGUUAAUCGGAAUUACUGGGCGUAAAGCGUGCGCAGGCGGUUUGCUAAGACCGAUGUGAAAUCCCCGGGCUCAACCUGGGAACUGCAUUGGUGACUGGCAGGCUAGAGUAUGGCAGAGGGGGGUAGAAUUCCACGUGUAGCAGUGAAACGCGUAGAGAUGUGGAGGAAUACCGAUGGCGAAGGCAGCCCCCUGGGCCAAUACUGACGCUCAUGCACGAAAGCGUGGGGAGCAAACAGGAUUAGAUACCCUGGUAGUCCACGCCCUAAAACGAUGUCAACUAGUUGUUGGGGAUUCAUUUCCUUAGUAACGUAGCUAACGCGUGAAGUUGACCGCCUGGGGAGUACGGUCGCAAGAUUAAAACUCAAAUGAAUUGACGGGGUCAUAGCUGUUCCU
rnacentral:rRNA from 1 species